GUUUUACCUUCAAGAACAUCCGAUAAAAUUGGAACGAUAUAGAGAAAUUAACAUGACCCUUGUGUAAGGAUGACAUGUGCAAAUCAAGAAAUGGUAUCAAAACCU